UGGGGAAUCUUGCGCAAUGCGCGAAAGCGUGACGCAGCAACGCCGCGUGGGGGAAGACGGCCUUCGGGUUGUAAACCCCUUUCAGGAGGGACGAAGGUUCGCCGGUGAAUAGCCGUGCGGAUUGACGGUACCUCCACAAGAAGCUCCGGCUAACUACGUGCCAGCAGCCGCGGUAAUACGUAGGGAGCAAGCGUUGUCCGGAAUCAUUGGGCGUAAAGCGCGCGUAGGUGGCCUCGUAAGUCCGCUGUGAAAGUCCAAGGCUCAACCUUGGAAAGCCGGUGGAUACUGUGAGGCUAGAGUACGGAAGAGGCGAGUGGAAUUCCUGGUGUAGCGGUGGAAUGCGCAGAUAUCAGGAGGAACACCAAUAGCGAAGGCAGCUCGCUGGGACGUUACUGACACUGAGGCGCGAAAGCGUGGGGAGCGAACAGG
rnacentral:rRNA from 1 species